GACGAACGCUGGCGGCGUGCCUAAUACAUGCAAGUCGAACGCAGUGGGGACGGGUGAGUAACACGUGGGUAACCUCCCAUCAGAGGGGAUAACACUUGGAAACAGGUGCUAAACCGAUACUGAUGGAUGGAACCGCAGUGCAUUAGCUAGUUGGUGAGGUAACGGCUCACCAAGGCCACGAUCCAUAGACGGCCUGAGAGGGUGAUCGGCCACACUGGGACUGAGACACGGCCCAGACUCCUACGGGAGGCAGCAGUAGGGAAUCUUCGGCAAUGGACGAAAGUCUGACCCAGCAACGCCGCGUGUGUGAAGAAGGUUUUCGGUUCGUAAAGCUCUGUUGUUAGAGAAGCGUUAUCUAACCAGAAAGCCACGGCUAACUACGUGCCAGCAGCCGCGGUAAUUC
rnacentral:rRNA from 1 species